GACAGAGGUGGCAAGCGUUGCUCGGAGUUACUGGGCAUAAAGGGCGCGUAGGCGGUCGUGCACGUCGGUGGUGUAAUCUCCGGGCUCAACCCGGAAACUGCCUUCGAUACGGCGCGACUAGAGUGCGGGAGGGGAGAGUGGAACUUCUGGUGGAGCGGUGAAAUGCGUAGAUAUCAGAAGGAACGCCGGUGGCGAAAGUGACUCUCUGGUCCGCAACUGACGCUGAGGCGCGAAAGCUAGGGGAGCAAACGGG
rnacentral:rRNA from 1 species